rnacentral:lncRNA from 1 species
AAAGAGAGAAAAAGAGAAAAAAAGGAAAAACAAAAACCCUAGAGAGAAAAAUUCAAAGGGAUAUUGUUGAUUUUCAAGGAAUCAAGCCAUUAAAGGUAAAAUUUUUUAAUUCUAGCUUGUGAUCUACCUUUCUUAUGCACUAUUUUGCAUUUUCCAUGAUUGAAUCACAAGAAAUCAUGAAGGAUAAUGUGCUGAUCAAACCUUAGGAGAGAGAAUUUGAUGAUGAAUUUAGUUAGAAAACAUGUUAUUCUAGUGUUUUUAGUUGUUUGGUGAUGUGUAGUAUGAAAAGCAAGCAAGAAAAAUUCACGUUCUUACAUCACCUUCAUUGGCCGAAUAUUCCAUGUGGACUAUUGAUGAUGAAUUUGAUUGAAUUUCAAGUGAUUUGAUUAGGAAUGAAUGAUUUAUGGUGUGUGAAUCAAGCAUGAAAAAUUAUAUUGUUAGUGCACUCACCAUGACCGAAUUUUUCAAGAGAAAAUGUGAGGAUGAUUUUGCCACAUUUCAAAUUAUUUAAAUUGUGUUUAAUGAUUUGGAGUAUUGGCAGAGAAAUGGAAUUAUUUGGAGUUAAAUUGGACGUAUUGGCCAAUUAAUCGGGUGAUAGAUCAAAUUUGGCCAAUACCAUUUUAUUUAGUUACAUAAUUGAAUUUAUAUUGAACACCUUAUUUAGAUAGUUACCCGAGUAUUUCACAUCCCAUUUCAUGCAUUAGUAUAGAGUCUGAAUUGGUUUUACAAUGGUUUAGCACAAAUGUAGCAAAUUGCUUAUUGUGCAUUAUGUUUAGGUGGUGAGCAUUCUGGCAAGAGUAAAGAGGUAGUAUCCGAGAAUUAAGAAUUAGAGUAUCCUGAAUUCGAUUCCCAUUACAGUGAGUAACCUUAUUAUCGUCUUAAUUAUCUAAAGUAUGUUUUUAUCUGAUUUUGUAAUUUUAUGGAAAAUGUGUUUAAAUGAAAUGAUUUUAUAAAUUGUUUUGAAAUUUAAUGAUGACUUGAAAAUAGAGUAAUUGGAGACUACUUGCUGUAUUGUAAAUUAUGUUCUGAAUUGAAUGGCUUAUGAUAAUGUGGGCAUGAAUGGUUGGAUGGGUAUUUGUGUUGAAAAUGCAUAAACUGUUGUUUGCCUUGAUAGGGUAGAUAAUGAUAAAAUUACCAUGUCAUGCUGUUGAAUUUUAUUGAAUUGGUGGGUUAUAGAUUGGUCACUACAGUGGCUGGUUCUGUGGACCAGCCUUUUUGAGGGGCACGAAAUUUAGGUAUAUUCUUACCUCGGUUGAGGAGGCGCAUAGGGUAACUCUUGAGGAAAAACUUUAGAGUUCACUUCACGCCAAACCACCAUGUGAGGGUGAACUCAACCAACGCCAAGGAACGACUAUGUUUUCAAAAUAAAAACAUGAUUUAUGUGUACAUAACUUUUUAAUAGCCUUGACGAACUCGAUUGGGAUAGCCCCAGGCCAAGGUAUCCUUGACAACUGAGUAUGAGAAUGAUUUUGGCACAAGCCAAGCUUUUCAGGAAAUCAUAAGCCUCGUUGUUUAUUUGGGUGAAAUGAAUCUAUUUUAUCUUAUUAAAAUAAGUUCGAAAUGCUGUGAAUCAUUUUUAUGCUAAUCUAUUUUAUCUGUCUCCAUUUACUCAGCUUUAGAUAUUUUAGAUGAUAUUUGUUUACUCACUAGGAUUAUAUAAUCUCACCACCCUCCUUUUCACCCAUUUCAGGCUCAAGAUAGUCGGUAGAUUGCUCAUUUCAUUGAGGGCUACAGUUGGACUUGCAUCCUCAAAAACUGUAGAUUCACAACCUUCAUUACUUUUAGUCAUUCGGGGCCCCACAUGUCAUUGUUAAAUGUUUUGAAUACCUGGAUGCGUGUGCUACUGUAUGUAAGAAUUUAUUUUACUUUUACGCUGUAAAAUUUAUUUACGUAAAGUUCUAUAAAAAUUGUUUUAUGAAAAAUUAGAAUAUUUUAUUCAUUAUUUUUAUUUUAUUUCAU